rnacentral:rRNA from 1 species
CAGUAGCCGCGGUAAUACGUAGGGUGCGAGCGUUAAUCGGAAUUACUGGGCGUAAAGCGUGCGCAGGCGGUUUUGUAAGACAGAGGUGAAAUCCCCGGGCUCAACCUGGGAACUGCCUUUGUGACUGCAAGGCUAGAGUACGGCAGAGGGGGAUGGAAUUCCGCGUGUAGCAGUGAAAUGCGUAGAUAUGCGGAGGAACACCGAUGGCGAAGGCAAUCCCCUGGGCCUGUACUGACGCUCAUGCACGAAAGCGUGGGGAGCAAACAGGAUUAGAUACCCCAGUAGUCCCUGUCUCUUAUAC